GCCAGCAGUCAUGUCACCUUGCAACACCGAAGCUUAGCAGGUGUGAGUUUGGUCAGUACCUGGAUGGGAGACCUCCUCGGAAAAACCAAGGUUGCUGCUGGGA
rnacentral:rRNA from 1 species